rnacentral:rRNA from 1 species
AAAUUGAAGAGUUUGAUCAUGGCUCAGAUUGAACGCUGGCGGCAGGCCUAACACAUGCAAGUCGAACGGUAACAGGAAACAGCUUGCUGUUUCGCUGACGAGUGGCGGACGGGUGAGUAAUGUCUGGGAAACUGCCUGAUGGAGGGGGAUAACUACUGGAAACGGUAGCUAAUACCGCAUAACGUCGCAAGACCAAAGAGGGGGACCCUCGGGCCUCUUGCCAUCGGAUGUGCCCAGAUGGGAUUAGCUUGUUGGUGGGGUAACGGCUCACCAAGGCGACGAUCCCUAGCUGGUCUGAGAGGAUGACCAGCCACACUGGAACUGAGACACGGUCCAGACUCCUACGGGAGGCAGCAGUGGGGAAUAUUGCACAAUGGGCGCAAGCCUGAUGCAGCCAUGCCGCGUGUAUGAAGAAGGCCUUCGGGUUGUAAAGUACUUUCAGCGGGGAGGAAGGGAGUAAAGUUAAUACCUUUGCUCAUUGACGUUACCCGCAGAAGAAGCACCGGCUAACUCCGUGCCAGCAGCCGCGGUAAUACGGAGGGUGCAAGCGUUAAUC